GGUUAAGCGACUAAGCGUACACGGUGGAUGCCCUGGCAGUCAGAGGCGAUGAAGGGCGUGCUAAUCUGCGAUAAGCGCCGGUAAGGUGAUAUGAACCGUUAUAACCGGCGAUACCCGAAUGGGGAAACCCAGUGUGACUCGUCACACUAUCAUUAACUGAAUCCAUAGGUUAAUGAGGCGAACCGGGGGAACUGAAACAUCUAAGUACCCCGAGGAAAAGAAAUCAACCGAGAUUCCCCCAGUAGCGGCGAGCGAACGGGGAGGAGCCCAGAGCCUGAAUCAGCAUGUGUGUUAGUGGAAGCGUCUGGAAAGGCGCGCGAUACAGGGUGACAGCCCCGUACACAAAAGCGCAUGUGCUGUGAGCUCGAUGAGUAGGGCGGGACACGUGGUAUCCUGUCUGAAUAUGGGGGGACCAUCCUCCAAGGCUAAAUACUCCUGACUGACCGAUAGUGAACCAGUACCGUGAGGGAAAGGCGAAAAGAACCCCGGCGAGGGGAGUGAAAAAGAACCUGAAACCGUGUACGUACAAGCAGUGGGAGCACAGGUUUACCUGUGUGACUGCGUACCUUUUGUAUAAUGGGUCAGCGACUUAUAUUCUGUAGCAAGGUUAACCGAAUAGGGGAGCCGGAGGGAAACCGAGUCUUAACCGGGCGUUAAGUUGCAGGGUAUAGACCCGAAACCCGGUGAUCUAGCCAUGGGCAGGUUGAAGGUUGGGUAACACUAACUGGAGGACCGAACCGACUAAUGUUGAAAAAUUAGCGGAUGACCUGUGGCUGGGGGUGAAAGGCCAAUCAAACCGGGAGAUAGCUGGUUCUCCCCGAAAGCUAUUUAGGUAGCGCCUCGUGAACUCAUCUCCGGGGGUAGAGCACUGUUUCGGCUAGGGGGCCAUCCCGGCUUACCAACCCGAUGCAAACUGCGAAUACCGGAGAAUGUUAUCACGGGAGACACACGGCGGGUGCUAACGUCCGUCGUGAAGAGGGAAACAACCCAGACCGCCAGCUAAGGUCCCAAAGUCAUGGUUAAGUGGGAAACGAUGUGGGAAGGCCCAGACAGCCAGGAUGUUGGCUUAGAAGCAGCCAUCAUUUAAAGAAAGCGUAAUAGCUCACUGGUCGAGUCGGCCUGCGCGGAAGAUGUAACGGGGCUAAACCAUGCACCGAAGCUGCGGCAGCGAACGUAUCACCCAAGACAACUUUGCGGAGUUGACGAUUGACGGAGCGAAGCGACGUCAAAGCGUUCAUUAAAGUCGAGUUGGCUUAGGGAUACGUUCGUUGGGUAGGGGAGCGUUCUGUAAGCCAGUGAAGGUGUGUCGUGAGGCAUGCUGGAGGUAUCAGAAGUGCGAAUGCUGACAUAAGUAACGAUAAAGCGGGUGAAAAGCCCGCUCGCCGGAAGACCAAGGGUUCCUGUCCAACGUUAAUCGGGGCAGGGUGAGUCGACCCCUAAGGCGAGGCCGAAAGGCGUAGUCGAUGGGAAACGGGUUAAUAUUCCCGUACUUGGUGUUACUGCGAAGGGGGGACGGAGAAGGCUAUGUUGGCCGGGCGACGGUUGUCCCGGUUUAAGCGUGUAGGUGUGUGUUCCAGGUAAAUCCGGUUCACUUUAACACUGAGGCGUGACGACGAGGCACUACGGUGCUGAAGCAACAAAUGCCCUGCUUCCAGGAAAAGCCUCUAAGCAUCAGGUAACAUCAAAUCGUACCCCAAACCGACACAGGUGGUCAGGUAGAGAAUACCAAGGCGCUUGAGAGAACUCGGGUGAAGGAACUAGGCAAAAUGGUGCCGUAACUUCGGGAGAAGGCACGCUGAUAUGUAGGUGAAGCGGUUUACCCGUGGAGCUGAAAUCAGUCGAAGAUACCAGCUGGCUGCAACUGUUUAUUAAAAACACAGCACUGUGCAAACACGAAAGUGGACGUAUACGGUGUGACGCCUGCCCGGUGCCGGAAGGUUAAUUGAUGGGGUCAGCGCAAGCGAAGCUCCUGAUCGAAGCCCCGGUAAACGGCGGCCGUAACUAUAACGGUCCUAAGGUAGCGAAAUUCCUUGUCGGGUAAGUUCCGACCUGCACGAAUGGCGUAAUGAUGGCCAGGCUGUCUCCACCCGAGACUCAGUGAAAUUGAACUCGCUGUGAAGAUGCAGUGUACCCGCGGCAAGACGGAAAGACCCCGUGAACCUUUACUAUAGCUUGACACUGAACAUUGAGCCUUGAUGUGUAGGAUAGGUGGGAGGCUUUGAAGUGUGGACGCCAGUCUGCAUGGAGCCGACCUUGAAAUACCACCCUUUAAUGUUUGAUGUUCUAACGUGGACCCGUAAUCCGGGUUGCGGACAGUGUCUGGUGGGUAGUUUGACUGGGGCGGUCUCCUCCUAAAGAGUAACGGAGGAGCACGAAGGUUGGCUAAUCCUGGUCGGACAUCAGGAGGUUAGUGCAAUGGCAUAAGCCAGCUUGACUGCGAGCGUGACGGCGCGAGCAGGUGCGAAAGCAGGUCAUAGUGAUCCGGUGGUUCUGAAUGGAAGGGCCAUCGCUCAACGGAUAAAAGGUACUCCGGGGAUAACAGGCUGAUACCGCCCAAGAGUUCAUAUCGACGGCGGUGUUUGGCACCUCGAUGUCGGCUCAUCACAUCCUGGGGCUGAAGUAGGUCCCAAGGGUAUGGCUGUUCGCCAUUUAAAGUGGUACGCGAGCUGGGUUUAGAACGUCGUGAGACAGUUCGGUCCCUAUCUGCCGUGGGCGCUGGAGAACUGAGGGGGGCUGCUCCUAGUACGAGAGGACCGGAGUGGACGCAUCACUGGUGUUCGGGUUGUCAUGCCAAUGGCACUGCCCGGUAGCUAAAUGCGGAAGAGAUAAGUGCUGAAAGCAUCUAAGCACGAAACUUGCCCCGAGAUGAGUUCUCCCUGAGACUUUAGGUCUCCUGAAGGAACGUUGAAGACGACGACGUUGAUAGGCCGGGUGUGUAAGCGCAGCGAUGCGUUGAGCUAACCGGUACUAAUGAACCGUGAGGCUUAACCUU
rnacentral:rRNA from 1 species